rnacentral:rRNA from 1 species
UACGGGGGGGGCAAGCGUUGUUCGGAAUUACUGGGCGUAAAGGGCUCGUAGGCGGCCAACUAAGUCCGACGUGAAAUCCCAAGGCUUAACCUUGGAACUGCGUCGGAUACUGGAUGGCUUGAAUUCGGGAGAGGGAUGCAGAAUUCCAGGUGUAGCGGUGAAAUGCGUAGAUAUCUGGAGGAACACCGGUGGCGAAGGCGGCAUCCUGGACCAACACUGACGCUGAGUGAGCGAAAGCCAGGGGAGCAAACGGG